GGGACUAAGUACCACCUAACUUGCACUUAACUAAAUUAACGGUAUCGAUAUUAAAUCAGGUGUGUUCUCUAUACAAACAAACGUCUUUGGGUCUACCCCAUUCUUGCACCCACACCUUAAUUAUUUUUGUAGCUUUAUAUCGUAAUUUGGUAUUUGGAUAUAUGUCGUCGUGGCUGUAAUUCAUCAACCAAGUCAUCAACAGUGCGUUUUCUUGUCAACGCUAAAAUAGCAGUGCAAGUGAGAAAAUUUUCUACUUCCAAAUUUGUCAACUCUUUCGUGCACUUUGGGGUGGCAUAUGGCUUCAGCCUCUGAGAAAACAGUUGAAUAACUUGACUUUAGACUACGUGAUGAUGACGACUGGCGUGAUUUACAUUGAGUCAAAAAUACUGCUCAUACUUGUGAUAAACAAAGAAAGCAAAUUUGAAAUUUCGUGUAAAACUGUCAAGGGAUUCUGUUUAGCACCCCACGUCGGCACUUAGCUGUCAUCUGUCAAUUUGGCAUUUGGCUAUAAUCUCGGAUCGGUCGGUAUGAAACUGUAUAUCCUUUACGAAUUUCGAUCUUUUUUCUUCAUUCUUCUAUUACUCAGUAGUAUAUAAGUCCAGGUCAAAUUCGCAUAUGUGAAGUUAAUCUGUAGGACACAUGAAGUCAUUACAGGAAAAUACGACCGACAAAGAAGAUUAACAUAAUAACUUGUUACUGUUAGCACUGUUAGUAUUCAAAGAUGUAUUAAUCAGGUGUUCAGUUCAACAACAUCACUAUGGAGGAGACUCCUCAUAUCCUCGUUAGCUGGUCCUGCAGUUUUCAGGUACAAGCUAGUGACAAUUCUCCAGGUAUUAAAAGCAAACAUGCUAUCUGGGGAUUGAGUCUUUGUCAGAUGGCAUGGUUUGCCACCAGUCAAUGUUGAACAAAUUGGCCGGUAGCUGGGAAUUUAUUCCUAACUUUGAAAUUUGACAAGCAGGCUGUUUCUAUCUUUGACUAAGCUAAAAAGAAGUCAUUGUAUCAUCAGCCCUUACUGAUGAAACUUUUUUUUUUGAAUCCCACAACUAUGACCGCCAUCUAGCCUUUCCAGUCAAUGAGCUUCGAAAAUUAGAAGCUGUCUGAAAAAAGAUUGAAAACGACGAGGGCUCAAGACUUGUUCUCUGAGAUGAUCCCCAUUACUGACACCAAACUCCUUGCUUUGUUGAUCAAAGAAUUGGUUCUGAGUGGAAAACUCACUGAGAUGGAAGCACAUUUAUGAUUCUUGUCUUACCCUACCAUCUGAGCAACUGUUCACCUCACGGGAGAAUCUCUUGAAAGAGAGCCUCAACAUAAAGAUCAAGGAACCGACACCAUCAACAAGUACAUCAUAACAUGUCAUGCAAGUCGUUAAAGAUCCACACUGCGUACUCCAACUUGAUGCCUGCUUCACUCUGCGUAACACCAACUUGAUCCCUGCCAUUGAGCAAUAUGAGCAUCUUAUGGAAAAACGCAUCUUGAGCAUCUCACGUCAAAAGCGGGUCCGUUCUUCACGCCGUCCACCUCACGUCAUCUUUGCUCUGCAGCCCAUCGCCGCCGUUAACCGCAACAAUUUCUUGCCUGCUAUUCUCCCCCUGAUUCUGAAUGCCACCGAGAUCCGUGUAUCCGCUAUCGUUCACCUUGUUCUGCCGUUCUGCUUUCAUCCCCCUUUCCUCGAGCAUCUUUCCCCGUGUCUGUUAUUUGUUUAUAAAAAUACAAUCAUUUGCUAACAAA
rnacentral:lncRNA from 1 species